rnacentral:rRNA from 1 species
AUACGUAGGGGGCGAGCGUUGUCCGGAAUUAUUGGGCGUAAAGGGCGCGUAGGCGGCCCGGUAAGUCUGGAGUGAAAGUCCUGUUUUUAAGAUGGGAAUUGCUUUGGAUACUGUCGGGCUUGAGUGCAGGAGAGGUAAGUGGAAUUCCCAGUGUAGCGGUGAAAUGCGUAGAGAUUGGGAGGAACACCAGUGGCGAAGGCGACUUACUGGACUGUGUCUGACGCUCAGAUGCGAAAGCCAGGGUAGCGAACGGGAUUAGAUACCCCGGUAGUCCUGGCCGUAAACGAUGGGUACUAGGUGUGGGAGGUAUCGACUCCUUCCGUGCCGGAGUUAACGCAAUAAGUACCCCGCCUGGGGAGUACGGCCGCAAGGCUUAAACUCAAAUGAAUUGACGGGG